rnacentral:tRNA from 1 species
GGAGUUGUGGCUCAGCAGUAGAGCACUCACCUAGCAUGUGGGAGGCCCUGGGUUCAAUCCUCAGCACCA